AGUGAACGCUGGCGGUAGGCCUAACACAUGUAAGUCGAACGGCAGCACAGUAAGAGCUUGCUCUUACGGGUGGCGAGUGGCGGACGGGUGAGGAAUACAUCGGAAUCUACUUUUUCGUGGGGGAUAACGUAGGGAAACUUACGCUAAUACCGCAUACGACCUACGGGUGAAAGCAGGGGAUCUUCGGACCUUGCGCGAUUGAAUGAGCCGAUGUCGGAUUAGCUAGUUGGCGGGGUAAAGGCCCACCAAGGCGACGAUCCGUAGCUGGUCUGAGAGGAUGAUCAGCCACACUGGAACUGAGACACGGUCCAGACUCCUACGGGAGGCAGCAGUGGGGAAUAUUGGACAAAGGGCGCAAGCCUGAUCCAGCCAUACCGCGUGGGUGAAGAAGGCCUUCGGGUUGUAAAGCCCUUUUGUUGGGAAAGAAAAGCGGCAGGUUAAUACCCCGCUGUUCUGACGGUACCCAAAGAAUAAGCACCGGCUAACUUCGUG
rnacentral:rRNA from 1 species